UACGUAGGGUGCGAGCGUUAAUCGGAAUUACUGGGCGUAAAGCGUGCGCAGGCGGUUUGUUAAGACAGAUGUGAAAUCCCCGGGCUUAACCUGGGAACUGCAUUUGUGACUGGCAAGCUGGAGUAUGGCAGAGGGGGGUAGAAUUCCACGUGUAGCAGUGAAAUGCGUAGAGAUGUGGAGGAAUACCGAUGGCGAAGGCAGCCCCCUGGGCCAAUACUGACGCUCAUGCACGAAAGCGUGGGGAGCAAACAGG
rnacentral:rRNA from 1 species